ensembl:lncRNA
UGUGGUAUGUCUUCUGGAACAUUUCUUCUUUUCUUACUAGCUUAUUCUUUGUUUAUUGUCAAGAUUAAAUGAGAAAAGUGUACGAAAUGCCAAUUGUUUAACUCAGCAUGUGCAAGCAGCUCGAUGUGGAAGGUUUCCUAACCCUCAUGUUCAGGGGAGGGGAUUCCGGUUGAAUAAUUAAUUCUACUGCUUAACAGCUAUGACUAUGUUGUAACUUGAACCAUUUCUGAAGUGUUGUCUUGGAGACCUGUUGAGAAUGUGGUUCCCUUUUGAUGUGAUUUUAAGCUCUCUGUCAGUGGGUGCUUUGACACCUUGUUGCUGGGGAAGACGAAUGACUGGGCAAAUUUCAGUUACAAACUACAUGGAAAAAUUUUUAGUUAUGUUCACCGUUUAUGUGUCAAUUCAGGUCAUUAAAUGGCCCCAGCCUUCAGGCUGAUUUUUGAUCUGAGGAUAUGCAAAUUGCAUAAAAAGAUGUUACUUAUUCUUGCCCUUGGAUAUGAGCUUACAGAGAAAUUACAGUGCACAAAACAGGACAGUGUCAGAUUUUCGUUAAAUUAAAAGGCUGUCCUUUAUUCUGAGGUUAUAUCCUUCUACUGUUAAGGUUUUUAAGAUUAAAAAUGCUAGAUUUUUGAAAAUGACCUUACCUUAGUAACAUUGAGUUGACAAUCUCUUGUGAGUGUCCUAAAUUUGGAGUAUUUUACUGGACCAUAAAAUUUGCAAGUCUGGGAACCUCUCAUGUAGUCGUGAUGGAAUUUCUUCCCUAGACAGCUCAUAGAGGCAAAUAGGAAGUGAGGGUUAGGUCUCCUCAGUCAGUUGAUUUCUUCCUGCUUCACGAAGCUCUGUGGGGAGAUUGCAAGCCAUGCCGUGGAUUACAUCUGUAAACUUAAAUGCCUCUUCAUGUUGUUAAAUAGAACCCAAGUCUGAUAAGAAAGGGCUUGCUUAUAGGAGAUCUGUCAGGAGACAGUUUGUAUUCCUGUGUCCCUUACGCCUGUAGUCAUCCUGUUUUUCUGCGUGGCUAUGCUGGGAAGGAUAGGAUCUUCAAGGGAGUAGAGCCUCCUAUUACCUGGCCACCACCUUCUCGACCUGGGAUGGAUUCAGAAGCUGAAGGCAAUGCCGUACGGGCUUGGAGUGAGGCAACCAGUCGGCCUUGGGAGGUUGGGAGAGAUUGCACCAUCCGUACGAUACAAGGCUAAAUGACCCAAUCAAAUCCUCUCUUUAAACAAUAUGUAAAUAUGAGAUGAUCGAAGAGAAGGCCAAUCACUCAGCAUAAGACUGUUUUGUCUGGAGCAACGGUGAGCCAGUGGCCCUGUGUGUGAAGCUGGCUGUACAUGGCAGUCGGUCAACCAUGGUCCCUCAGUACGUGAGCUGUUGACGGAUACCUCCCCCUUUGGCUGAACCUCCCCAUGGUUCUCUGCAAUAAACCUUUAAGCUUGUUAAUAAUUUGUGCACAUAUGCUCCUUGUAACCCUGAAGAACUUGACUAGCAAAGCCAGCACAAUGUUGCUUUACUGAAGGGGCAUACCUUUGACAACCUCACCAGUGGUUAUGCCUGUGAGCAACUGGGUCAGUACACCCUUACCAAUUCUGGAGGUUGCCACGAAAACCUUUUUGAGGGGUUCAGUUCAACAAUUGUAAAGUGGUAGCUCAGUGUUGAUUUAUUUGAUUACUAGUUAGAAAAACUCAGUGCUUAAAUGGUCCUUACUUAUUGUAAACCAGGUUCACUAGGAAAGAAACUGGCCUCUGCAAAAUUAGCCAUUAGUGUUGUGUGCUAAAUAAUAUUCUCCAUUUACUGGGAGUUCAUCUAACAUGGAUCUCAAAUUAUAUAAUAAUGAAAUUGCAGAUUGACUGUAGGCACGAAAGUCCUCAGACUUACAGAAUAGGGACCCAUAGUGUCUACUUGAACCUGUCAUUUGAUUUCUUUGGCUGCCAGCUGUGUGAGCUGUGGCCACCGCAUGCUUCGAUGUUCCACGUGGUGUUUACCGCUGUGAGAAGACGCCAGUCAUCACUCCGACGAAUAGAACAGGAGCAGGACCCUGGGACCGCAGCAGGCCCAGCUGUAAGGUGAGCCCCAGGGAGUCACAUCCUUGUGUCGUCCCCUGCCCUUGAGGGCUGGUGGAGCCUGUGAGUUGCUUUUCACAAACAGAAUGUGGCAAAGGUGAGGGAUAGUCACCCACGGCUAUGUAAUUGCUGUACAAUGUCCACUGUAGUGGACUGGAGAGAGAUUCUCCACCGGCCUUGAAAAAGUAAGCUACUACAUGGCAAGGAGCCGCGGGAGCCUCUAAGGCUGGGGGCCCGCAAGACGACGGGGCUUCAGUCCCGCAACUGCAAGGAACUGAAUUCUGCUAAAAAUCGUGUGAAUGCGGAAAAGGACCCCAAGCUCCAGAAGGGAAUGCAGCUGAGCUGACACCCCGAUUGCAGCCCUGAGUGACUCUGAGCAGAGGACCCAGUGAAGCUGUGUCCUGUCUCCUAGCCUACAGAAACCGAGAUCAUAACUGGGUGUUGUUUUAAGCCCCUAAGUUGGUAGUAAUUUGUUACUCAGCCUCAGAAAAUUAAUAUAGUCUCCUUAUUAGAGUAAUAUGUAAGACGGUGGGUUUAAAUCUCAGCUUACUAACCAAGCAGGCUUGGCAAAUUGCUUACCCUCUCUGAGCCUGUUACCUAACUGUAAAAAUAGUACCUAUUCCAGGGUGCUGACGAUUGAAUGAAAUAAUGCGUGUGAGUCACUUAGCAUGGUACCUGACAGAGUAAGUUCUCA